rnacentral:lncRNA from 1 species
AUGUUUUUAGAAAAACUUUUGUAAAAUGCACCAUUAUGGUAGCAUGGACUUUGCAAUGAAAAUGAAGGAGUAUUUUAAAAAGAAAAAAAAAAAGACCCUGGAGUUUUUCCUUUAGCAGUAAGCAUGCCAACCAAAGUCACUAGGAUGGGAUCCCAAAUUGUUAACAAGCACCACGCCGAAGAAAAAUUACUUAGGGUGCACAAAGCCGAGUUGUUAAGAAAAACGUGCAAUAGAAUGCGUC